rnacentral:rRNA from 1 species
UACGUAGGGUGCAAGCGUUGUCCGGAAUUAUUGGGCGUAAAGAGCUCGUAGGCGGUUCGUCGCGUCGGCUGUGAAAACCUGAGGCUCAACCUCAGGCCUGCAGUCGAUACGGGCGGACUUGAGUACUGCAGGGGAGACUGGAAUUCCUGGUGUAGCGGUGGAAUGCGUAGAGAUCAGGAAGAACACCCGUGGCGAAGGCGGCACUCUGGGCCUGUACUGACGCUGAGACGCGAAAGCGCGGGGAGCGAACGGG